UACGGAGGGUGCAAGCGUUGUCCGGAAUCACUGGGCGUAAAGGGCGCGUAGGCGGCUCAUGAAGGCUGUGGUGAAAGUCCGGGGCUCAACCUCGGAUCGGCCGUGGCGACUCGUGGGCUGGAGCACUGUAGAGGCGGGUGGAAUUCCGGGUGUAGCGGUGGAAUGCGUAGAGAUCCGGAAGAACACCAGUGGCGAAGGCGGCCCGCUGGGCAGUGGCUGACGCUGAGGCGCGACAGCGUGGGAAGCAAACAGG
rnacentral:rRNA from 1 species